CUGCUGUGCGUCGAUCUAAUCUUCUACAGUCGGCUAUUGCUGUGUAAAUGAUUUUAGCUUCUUCUCCAGUUCUCCACUCACCAAUCCGCAAAAGAACAACAACCCAAAAGCAAAAACAAACAGAGAGAAAUACAGAAAGAGAAACCUGAAGCCCUCCUUUUUGGACAUCACGAUUUUCUUCAUUAUCAAAGUAUUUUGAAGGCUAUUGAUCUUGAAGAAGACCUUGAUUCUGAGCCUAUUUGCCUUUUAAUUUCUGAGCUGUUAGUUCUUUCUGCUUUUCACGGAAGACCCUAGACCCUAUUUCUUGACUUCAUUUCUGCUUCUGAAUUUCUGAUUAAUAUCAAUUCCAACCAGAGAAAUAAGUAUUGUCGGUCUCAAUUCUGACGGAGGAAGAAGCAGCUCUAAGCGACUCAGGGUACGUAGGAGUAGAAGACAGACUGUGACUAAAGUCACAGACCCAUGUUUAGUUUUUGACUGUGAAUAUUAACUGAUGGCCGAUUGUGAUCACGGAGUAAUUUCUUUUGUGGCUGUGGUGCAGACCAGAUUUGAGGUGGAUCGAACAAGCUGCUCACUAUCUGAUAUUCAAGUGUCAAGGAAAGUAAGCAUGUCUAAAAUUUCACAGGAUACCAUCUUCCGUUAGUAUAGAUAUAACUAGAAGAGAUUAGAUUCUGCUGUAGGCCGUUACUGAGGAAACAAGUCUGCAUUAAAAUUGAAUAUAAAAACUAAUGAUAGUGAAAGUGCCUAAACCAAACUGUAUUGAGUCUUAAUACCAAAUCAAAUGAAUCUCUAAUUCUCUCUAUCUACCAAAAAAGUAAAUAAAUCAAAUCAGCGUCUGCAGCUGGGAUUUGUUUUAUAGAUAAGAUGUUUGGUGGUCUGGGAAUUAAAGGGACAACACAAGACAAGACAAAUUUAUUUUGAUUAUUGUUAGCAGCCAUUUGUCUCAGUGCUAUUUGUUUGCUACAUUCUACUGAACAAUCUGAUGUUCUUGAGUUGAAAAUCUAAUUAGGCUGUAAUCAUAAGCCAUGUUUUUAUAUUUUGCAAUGCUAUUUUAUCUGCUACAUUCUACUGAACAAUCUGAUGUUCUUGAGUUGAUUAAUUUAGUUUAUUCCUUUCGAGCUUCAUUCUUUUCUCAGUGUAUAUACUCAUUCACUGCUCUCUUUUUUUGUCCUGUUUUUCAUUUAUGAUAAGAUUUUUUUCUAUCUACAUAUAUUCACUUAUCACCCUUUUUUCUCUUUUCAUUCUGUUUUGUGUUUAUGUUUUUUUUUUUUUCACUCAUACAUAUUAUAGGGUAGUAAUGUACUGAAAGAUAUAUUGUAGCUAUUGAAUGAACUGUCAUUACAUGGCUCCUUUUUAUAGCUUGGGUUAUAGAGUAUUCACUUAUUUACUGGUUUUCUCAAUUGAAGCUCUCUCAAUACUUUGCAUGUUUUUGUACAAUGUACAGUAAUGAGAAACUUUAAUUCAGGAACGAAUUUGAGACUUAGGAUUUAGGGUCAUUAUACAGGAACUGAAACUCUGAGCCUAACUUUUCUAUUUUUAGAUAUCAUGCAAUCUAUUUAGGGUCCAAUCACUAUUACAUUGGUUUCUUUUACAGUCCGCAGAUUAUUAAACUCUGGAAAUCAUUUUUUCCUUUCUAUUUAGUUUUUGUUGUCAAUUUAGUUAUAUCUCUGCAUUUACCUUUAUGGUUUGUGUGUGAAUUUCAUUGUUGUUUUCUUUGGCUUUUUCAGAUCUGACCUUCAAAUAAAAAAGCUUCUGUUUUUUGCUGCUGUUGAUUUGUUUUCAGCUUCUUUUUUUUUUUUUUUUUCCUUUUUGGUCAUGGCCUUUGUUCAACUUCUCUAUAGUCAGAUUCUUAUUUACACUAAAUGCAUAACGUUUUACCUGUUUUUUCCUCCGACUUUGGGUAAAUGAUGUUCCAUGAAAUAUGGUUAAAGUGAGUAUCUGUCUCCUCUUUUGCAUAUUUCAGGAUUGAGAAAAGGUCGUUUUUAUGUUUGAAUGGCUGGAGUUGUAUCAUUCAGAUAAUGUAACUGCAAAGACUUAUGUCCUUGGUGAGUGAUGCAAAGGCUGUAAAAUCCCUUACAGCAGCAAUAAUGUAUAGCCACACCCUAUAAAAGUAAUUACUGAACUUCGCAUAGUAAUACGUUGGAUUGUUUAGGAACAUCAUUUACUGAACUUCGCAUAGUAAUGUAUAGCCAGCUCUGUGUAUAAGUAUCAUAUGAUUUUGUGAAUUACAAUUUGUGUUUGUUUAACAAAUUCACCAAGCUGUUUCAGUUAUAAAGAGUUGCAUAUUUAUCCAUUUGGUCAUGUUAUUCCUUUUGAGUCCUGUGAAAUACACUUCUUGCUAAAUCAUUUGCUAAUUAGUUGACAUUUUGUUUGGUUAUGCCAUGUAGACGAAUAAUGAAAUGAAAGUGGCUGAAUUGGAAGCUAAACUUGGUAUUGAGAUAAGCAAAAUUGAAGCCCUUAUUUACUGGCAAGUCAUCCAAGCUACUAACAUUUUGGCGACCAAAUUUGAUUUGCUCAGCGUGAUUUCUUCCCAUGUCGCAGAAAAGAAAAAGGGAUUAUGUUUUAAAUAUUUUAGAGCAUGGCACCAAUGACUUAUGAAAAAAGGAACUAUUAAUAUGUAAAAGGUUUUUAGUUACCAUUUAUAUUUGUUCCAAGAGUGAUUGUCAAUAAGAAUACACAAUAUUCUUAUAAUCCCACUGGUCUGUCUGAUAAUGUCAAUGCAUUACUAUAAAACCCGCCGCAACGCGCGGGCUGCUAUU